AAUUUUGGACAAUGUGGGAAACCCCGAUCCAGCCAUCCCGUGUGUAUGAUGAAGGCCUUCGGGUUGUAUAGUACUUUUGGUAGAUAAGAAAAGGUAUCCUCUAAUUCGUGAUACUGCUGAUGGUAUCUGCAGAAUAAGCACUGGCUAACUACGUGCUAGCAGCCGCGGUAAUACGUAGGGUGCAAGCGUUAAUCGGAAUUACUGGGCGUAAAGCGUGUGUAGGCGGUUCGGAAAGAAAGAUGUGAAAUCCCAGGGCUCAACCUUGGAACUGCAUUUUUAACUGCCGAGCUAGAGUAUAUCAGAGGGGGGUAGAAUUCCACGUGUAGCAGUGAAAUGCGUAGAUAUGUGGAGGAAUACCGAUGGCGAAGGCAGCCCCCUGGGAUAAUACUGACGCUCAGACACGAAAGCGUGGGGAGCAAACAGG
rnacentral:rRNA from 1 species